rnacentral:rRNA from 1 species
GGUGAAAAGCACCCCGGAAGGGGAGUGAAAUAGAACCUGAAACCGUGUGCUUACAAGUAGUCAGAGCCCGUUAAUGGGUGAUGGCGUGCCUUUUGUAGAAUGAACCGGCGAGUUACGAUUUGAUGCAAGGUUAAGCAGUAAAUGUGGAGCCGUAGCGAAAGCGAGUCUGAAUAGGGCGUUUAGUAUUUGGUCGUAGACCCGAAACCAGGUGAUCUACCCUUGGUCAGGUUGAAGUUCAGGUAACACUGAAUGGAGGACCGAACCGACUUACGUUGAAAAGUGAGCGGAUGAACUGAGGGUAGCGGAGAAAUUCCAAUCGAACCUGGAGAUAGCUGGUUCUCUCCGAAAUAGCUUUAGGGCUAGCCUCAAGUGAUGAUUAUUGGAGGUAGAGCACUGUUUGGACGAGGGGCCCCUCUCGGGUUACCGAAUUCAGACAAACUCCGAAUGCCAAUUAAUUUAACUUGGGAGUCAGAACAUGGGUGAUAAGGUCCGUGUUCGAAAGGGAAACAGCCCAGACCACCAGCUAAGGUCCCAAAAUAUAUGUUAAGUGGAAAAGGAUGUGGCGUUGCCCAGACAACUAGGAUGUUGGCUUAGAAGCAGCCAUCAUUUAAAGAGUGCGUAAUAGCUCACUAGUCGAGUGACACUGCGCCGAAAAUGUACCGGGGCUAAACAUAUUACCGAAGCUGUGGAUUGUCCUUUGGACAAUGGUAGGAGAGCGUUCUAAGGGCGUUGAAGCAUGAUCGUAAGGACAUGUGGAGCGCUUAGAAGUGAGAAUGCCGGUGUGAGUAGCGAAAGACGGGUGAGAAUCCCGUCCACCGAUUGACUAAGGUUUCCAGAGGAAGGCUCGUCCGCUCUGGGUUAGUCGGGUCCUAAGCUGAGGCCGACAGGCGUAGGCGAUGGAUAACAGGUUGAUAUUCCUGUACCACCUAUAAUCGUUUUAAUCGAUGGGGGGACGCAGUAGGAUAGGCGAAGCGUGCGAUUGGAUUGCACGUCUAAGCAGUAAGGCUGAGUAUUAGGCAAAUCCGGUACUCAUUAAGGCUGAGCUGUGAUGGGGAGAAGACAUUGUGUCUUCGAGUCGUUGAUUUCACACUGCCGAGAAAAGCCUCUAGAUAGAAAAUAGGUGCCCGUACCGCAAACCGACACAGGUAGUCAAGAUGAGAAUUCUAAGGUGAGCGAGCGAACUCUCGUUAAGGAACUCGGCAAAAUGACCCCGUAACUUCGGGAGAAGGGGUGCUCUUUAGGGUUAACGCCCAGAAGAGCCGCAGUGAAUAGGCCCAAGCGACUGUUUAUCAAAAACACAGGUCUCUGCUAAACCGUAAGGUGAUGUAUAGGGGCUGACGCCUGCCCGGUGCUGGAAGGUUAAGAGGAGUGGUUAGCUUCUGCGAAGCUACGAAUCGAAGCCCCAGUAAACGGCGGCCGUAACUAUAACGGUCCUAAGGUAGCGAAAUUCCUUGUCGGGUAAGUUCCGACCCGCACGAAAGGCGUAACGAUUUGGGCACUGUCUCAACGAGAGACUCGGUGAAAUCAUAGUACCUGUGAAGAUGCAGGUUACCCGCGACAGGACGGAAAGACCCCGUGGAGCUUUACUGUAGCCUGAUAUUGAAAUUCGGCACAGCUUGUACAGGAUAGGUAGGAGCCUUUGAAACGUGAGCGCUAGCUUACGUGGAGGCGCUGGUGGGAUACUACCCUAGCUGUGUUGGCUUUCUAACCCGCACCACUUAUCGUGGUGGGAGACAGUGUCAGGCGGGCAGUUUGACUGGGGCGGUCGCCUCCUAAAAGGUAACGGAGGCGCUCAAAGGUUCCCUCAGAAUGGUUGGAAAUCAUUCAUAGAGUGUAAAGGCAUAAGGGAGCUUGACUGCGAGACCUACAAGUCGAGCAGGGUCGAAAGACGGACUUAGUGAUCCGGUGGUUCCGCAUGGAAGGGCCAUCGCUCAACGGAUAAAAGCUACCCCGGGGAUAACAGGCUUAUCUCCCCCAAGAGUUCACAUCGACGGGGAGGUUUGGCACCUCGAUGUCGGCUCAUCGCAUCCUGGGGCUGUAGUCGGUCCCAAGGGUUGGGCUGUUCGCCCAUUAAAGCGGUACGCGAGCUGGGUUCAGAACGUCGUGAGACAGUUCGGUCCCUAUCCGUCGUGGGCGUAGGAAAUUUGAGAGGAGCUGUCCUUAGUACGAGAGGACCGGGAUGGACAUACCUCUGGUGUACCAGUUGUCGUGCCAACGGCAUAGCUGGGUAGCUAUGUGUGGACGGGAUAAGUGCUGAAAGCAUCUAAGCAUGAAGCCCCCCUCAA